rfam:Triticum aestivum genome assembly, contig: Triticum_aestivum_CS42_TGACv1_scaffold_409898_5BL
AAACUACUCCCUCCGUCUGGAAAUACUUGUCAUCAAAAUAGAUAAAAACGGAUGUAUCUAGAAUUAAUAUACAUCUAGAUACAUUCCCUUUUAUUCAUUUUGAUGACAAGUAUUUCCGGAUGGAGGGAGUAUUUU